rnacentral:rRNA from 1 species
AUAUCAAUAAGCGGAGGAAAAGAAACCAACAGGGAUUGCCUCAGUAACGGCGAGUGAAGCGGCAACAGCUCAAAUUUGAAAUCUGACUUCGGUCUGAGUUGUAAUUUGUAGAGGGUAUUUGGAAAGCGACGUCGGCCUAAGUCCCUUGGAACAGGGCGUCAUAGAGGGUGAGAAUCCCGUAUGUGGCCAUGCGUCAAUUUCAUGUCAAAUCUCUUCGACGAGUCGAGUUGUUUGGGAAUGCAGCUCAAAAUGGGUGGUAAAUUUCAUCUAAAGCUAAAUACCGGCCAGAGACCGAUAGCGCACAAGUAGAGUGAUCGAAAGAUGAAAAGCACUUUGGAAAGAGAGUUAAACAGUACGUGAAAUUGUUGAAAGGGAAGCGCUUGCCAUUAGACCGAUCUUCAGGCAGCAGUUUAGAGGUAACUCUGGAUGUAAAGCACCUGUUCUUCGGCCAGCAUCGGUUUAGGUGGUUUGACAAAAACCAUAAGAACGUAGCUCCUCGGAGUGUUAUAGCUUAUGGUAUAAUGAAGCCUACCUGGACCGAGGACCGCGCUUCGGCUAGGAUGCUGGCGUAAUGAUGGCAAGCGACCCGUCUUGAAACACGGACCAAGGAGUCAAUCGUUUAAGCGAGUGUUUGGGUGUUAAACCCAUGCGCGUAAUGAAAGUGAAUGGAGGUCAGAACCUCUCUGAGGCGCAUGAUCGACCGAAUCAGAAGUUUACGGAUGGUUUUGAGUAAUAGCUUCAAUGAUUGGACCCGAAAGAUGGUGAACUAUGCGUGAAUAGGGUGAAGCCAGAGGAAACUCUGGUGGAGGCUCGCAGCGGUUCUGACGUGCAAAUCGAUCGUCAAAUUUGCGCAUAGGGGCGAAAGACCAAUCGAACUAUCUAGUAGCUGGUUCCUGC